AGGGCGGGGCAGGAAAUAUGAAAGGAAGGCUCUGCAGCAGAGUUGGGCUGGAGCCAGCAGAGAAGACAGAUGCCUCCGCCUUGCUGCAGCACCCAGGAGCAGAACCUGUACCCUGCCGCGCCCUGUCCCCAGAGGAGAUGAACACAGACGAGGACUUGCCAGGACUACCAGCGGCCGUAUACCCCGAGGAGCCUGAGAACCUGUGGAGGCUAGAGGUACCAAACCCUGGGGAGGUAGGAUGUAGCCCAGGGGCAGCCCACGACUGGCUGGCUACAGGGCUGACCGCAUCUCAGUUGGCGUGUUGUGGCUGGAACCUUGCCGACCCAGUGACAGACCACUCUGCCACUGUUCGGGCCCUGGGCUGGAACGCGGUGGAGUAGGGCGGGCCCGCGUCCCCCUGCCAUCCCAACCCCGGGGUGGCAGACUCCCCACUUUAGGCCAGGAGGCCUGUGCUCUGUGAACCUCCCUGCUAGCACCCUAGACUGCUUGCUGGAUGUGCAAACCCCUUUCAGAGCCCCUAGACUGUAUGGGCGCUCCCCCUUACCUGAACUCCAAGACUGUGUGUGUUUGUUGGCUGCCUGAGCAGCCUGCUCCUUGCUCUGCCCCACCCAAAGGACCAGAGCUAAUUGACUGUGUUUGUUUGCUGGCUGGCUGCCUGAGCCCACAAGCCCAAGCUAAAGCCUGCUCCCUGCUCUGCCCCGCCCAAAGAGCUACAGCUUAUUGACUUGGUGUAUUUGCUGGCUGCCUGAGCUGGGAGGCUGAGGCUACAGCCUGCUACCAGCCCAGCCAAAGGAUAACUGUUAAGUGUUGUCAGCCCCAUUGAGGGGCUAUGAGCUAGAGACUAUGCCGGGCGCUGCCCACCACGGGGCAAGAGCCCCAGACUGUUGUUGUCUGUUUGCCUCUGUCAGACAGACCCAGAGCUCUAGACUGUUUACAGCUCACCCCCCGACGUGACCCAAGCCUGAGGACUGAACCUGAACAGAACGAGGCAGAGUGGCCUCCAUCCGGACUGGAGAACGAGGGAGCACUACAGGUAUCUCCAACUGGGCACUCCACAUUAAUGGACACUUCUGAAACCUUGGGUUCAACUGAUUUGUCCAUGGUCGUUAUAGAACCAUACAGCUGGAAAGCAGACCAAGGAGCAUUGAUUCCCAUUCCCAACUGUAAAUUCAAGGUCUCGUGUGUUGUAUUUGCAAAAAAGGUCCAGCAAGAAUCUUGCAAGUCUAUGUAGCUGAUGUACUGAAUGAACAAUGGAACAAGGGCAGAAGAAAACCCAGAGCCAGAAGUUGGCUAGAAAAGGGAGGAGACUGGUCAGGGAACCUUAUCAAGAUUGCUCUGAGUAACAAAUGUGCUCCUUCAGACUCCGCAUGCUUUUUUCAGUCUUUUCGAGGCACACAAAAGGCUCUAAUAGACAUGUGUGUCUUACUGAAUGAGUGAUUCUUCCUAGAAUACCAUUGGAAUGAGUUUGUUCUCACUCAACCAGAAUCUAUUAUAUGAAAAGUCUUCAUUACCAUAAUCCCUCGGCAUUGUUUCCAUCCAUUAACAGCAGUUAAUUAUGAGACACUGCAGAAUUGGCUCCCACGACUUUAUGUACACUUGUGCCUGCCUGAUCAAGAGUAAUGCCCUACCAUAAAUCAGAAAUGUCUAACAUCCAGACAGAGGGCCUUCAUGGAUUAAGCUAGAAACAAAAGACACCAUGUUAGAGUUAAAGUUACAAUGACUAGGGAAUAGUGCUCCAAAAUAGUGGCAGCUGAGUGAGAAAAGGCUACUGUACAGGAUCCUGCAUGCUACCGUACAUGAAACACACAGCUAAUAUUUAACAUACAAAAUAGUUCUCUAGGAUGACAACUAGUUAUUAAAAUAUAUUCACAAACAUCUGGUACCAUGUCAAAUUCUGAAGUAUUAUUAUUGAAACACGAGUAACAUGCAAAAACUCCAGAAGAUGCCAGGAAAAGGACAGCCACGCAAAAUUUAUUCCAUGACCAUGAAUGAAAAUGCUUCCUAUUCAGAUCCCUAUUGUCAUACAGGUAUGACACACAAAAGUGCUGGAAACAGGCUAAUCUAUUUCCUGGCUUUAGUCACAUAAUAUGGGCGAGGUUACAAAAGGUUAUAUCUAUCUAUCUAUCUAUCUAUAUAUACACGUACCCCUGACACAUGGCAAGAAUCAGUAUCCACUACCAUUACUGGAAUAGCUUAGGGUCCCCAAACAGGAUCUGAGUCCUAUUGCACUUCAGAUGCUGCACAGACCUGCAGGAAACUCAGGAAGGAGUGCUGAGCUGCUAACAGGGGAAGGAGAGAGGGGGGAGGGAGUCACAGUCACCAGCCUAAAAAGCAGCAGUUUCAUCAGCUCUUCUGGACAAGUUAACGGCAGCGGACUCGAACGAGCUGCUUAGAAGAGAAGACCAAAAUCUAACAGGAAUUGGUGAGGAAGAGGAGAAUCAGGGAGAACAGAUGGAUGGAUAGGGAGAGGGCAAGAGGAAAUUAGAUGUGUAUUAGGCAUUUUGUUGAGACAACACAGGUAAGUCUGCUACUGCCUCCUGUCCCCCAAUUUUGUGAGAAAGGGUAAGAAAUAUCCUACUGAGAAAAUGAAAUCCAUUCUCAGUGUUCUAGGUCAAGCUUCACCUUAUCUCCUCCAAAGCAGGAAGAAAGCAAAGUUAAUCACACUGAAAUGAGCAAAAAGGAAGUAAAGAAUCUAUGACUUGGCCACUUUUCUGGAUCACUUCAGCAGUAGAAUUUCCAAUGAAAAGCCAAAGGCAGCCAUGAACUUCAGACCUUCCAAUUAGGACUGUCGAACAAGUGGAAUGAGGAAAAGGAUAACUAAACAACUACACAAAUCAAGGAAGCAUCAAUACUUUAAUAAAUGUCAACUUCAGAGAGGACUAUAGUUCAUAAUAGUAUGAAUGAGUCAAUUUCAGAAAUCCAUUAUUGGUUUGUAUGCUAUUAACCACAUACAUGCACUGCCAUGAAAAGUUAUCAAAGGAUUAAACCUCAUUUGUCUUUCCUUCUUUCAGAAAAAUAGCAAAAACCAAACCAAGCUGGGUAGGUUAUUUCAGAAAAAAGUGAUAUAACUGGUGUGAAACUGGGUUUGAAGCUUUCAAUAAGCAUCAUAAAACAAUCUCUGUGUAAUGUCCUAAUUACAGAGAUGUACAAGACAUACAUGUGGAUGGUAGUUCAGCCUAAACCUGUAAGAAUAUCAAGCUUGCCUACCAAGAGUUUUCCAACAGUUCAAGGAAGAACAAUGAUCCUUGUUGGAGAUUCAAUCUUUGGAAAACCUGAAAGAAUAUUCUGCAAGGUGAACACCAGGAUGGUGCGCUGCCUUCCCAGAGCCAAGACAUGAGACAUCACGCUAUUGAAAUCCACUAGCAAGAAUUCAUUGG